AUAUACUGGAACUAUAAAUGAUUUAUAGUGACAAUUCAAUUAGUUUAAUAUCUGAUAUGUCCUCUAUUUGAGGACUACGAAUUAAAUGGAUUUUUGGAACAGGGAGAUGGAAUAGGGGCUUGCUCCAUCCACUCCACGCAGCGACCUGGUAUUGCAGUAUCUCCAGGAACGGUGCAUGUUAA
ensembl:snRNA U2 U2 spliceosomal RNA